CGGGUACUGAGCCACACUAUCUGCUUCCUUAGAAGAUGGGGAGCCAAGAGGAGGCAGGAUGGGGGCUCUCAGGUCUCAGGUGGAAGCUGACAGUGCCCCUUGCCACAGGAACCUGUCCAAGGUUUCACAGCAGUAAUUGACGGAGCCAGGAAUUGAACCCAGGCCUUAGGGACUCUGGAGCUCUAUUGACCUCAGUGUGCUUCAACCCUGGAAACGGUAUCGUCCUGACUCUCCAGAUCAGCCUUGUUUACCUCCCCAAACCCAAGAGCCCUGGAGCCGGGGCUAGAGGGUCAAGCCGUGCCUCCAAAUGGCACUACCCACAUGUAACAGGUAUCCCUGAAAGCCGGCCUCUGGGUUGGUGGCAGAGAAAAGGGCUUUCCUGAGUGUUUUGCUCCCGCCUCUGGCCUCAGCAUCCUGCUCUGUAAAGAGGUGUCUUCCAGUCGGCCUGCCAGGCCUCCCAAUCUCCUCCCUCCCAACACUCAGGCACGUAGAACCCUCCGGGUCGGUCCCUCCCCGGCCCCACAGCGCUUGACAGGACAAACGGAGUUAAUCUGGCUUUGCUAUGCAGGGACAUGCCUCUCUCUGGAGAAGGCAGGGGCUUCCCGGACCAGGCUCCAGUCUUAUCUGCAGAGGUUUGCCCCAACGUGUCCCAGGAGCAAGCAAAGGUUCAGCGACAUGUGCAAUUGCAACUCUUCACGUUCUCCCGGGAGUGCAGACAUGAACCUGCCUUCGAAGUGUUAAAACCAUGGCCCCGGGGCAAAACACCAUUCAUUCUGAAUCAUCUCUUUUGUUGCAUUUAAAAAAAAAAAAAAAAGAAAAAGAAAAAGAAAGGAGAAACUCCACACCAGCCAGGCAGAGGUGUGCAGGCGGCUGUGUUUGAACACGGGAGUUGGCUUCCUUUUGGGGGAGGAGACGAGGUCCCACAACAACUCGGAGGGGUUAUAAGGAGCCGCGGGCUGGGGGGAGACAUUCCUGGGGCUCUGCUUCCAGCCCAAGCCUGAGGCUCCACCAGCACUUCUCCAGCCUGCUGAG
rnacentral:lncRNA from 1 species